GCAUUCUUCAGCAGUGCAUUAAUUCAAUUUUUUUAAAAAAAAAUGUGAUGGGGGUUGAGGGGUGCAGUGAUUCUAAAAGGGUGACAUCUAGAAGACACAGAAAAUAUCCUGCCCACAUAUAAUAUAUAAUCUCCAGUUGAAGACAUAUUCUGCAGAGGCUCCAAUAUUGUGCUCUAGGCUUAUGGUUGGAGUAUGUGGUCUAUGAAACAAUCUGGGCAGUAGCUUGGUCUUUACAGUUUGGCACGGACACAGAUGUAGGGUAUAAAUCCUCUACAUCUGCAGAAACAAUAACUCACCUAUACUAUAUUAUAUACCGAUAUUGCACCAGGUACUUGUUGGAACGAACCAUCUGGGCCAAGACUAUCCCUGCAGUUUUAUCCAACCAAGUUUUAAGAUCCAUUCCAAAGACUGCACUUCAUCCUGGUAAUAAACUUACAGUGCAUUCAAUGGGUUCAAUAGGUGGAUUUUGGAGAUUCAGUCCAAGUUGCUGGAGUUUGUGCUAGAUGCCAUAAGAUUACUGGCACGAAGAUUUCCACAACUUCUAAACAACCUGUUUGCAACGCUAACCCUUUGAGCAUUUCAGCUGGGUCUCUUCAAGCUAUUGCAUUCAAUGGCAGUAUUCAAAACCAUGAUUUUGCUACCUUUAGAAAACUUUGAAAAGCUUAAAAAAAACCCACCCUGAAAUAAACGCAAAAUAGUUUCAAAUGACACCGUUGGAAAAGAUUCACUGAUAUUUUAUAGUUUGUGUUUACUGGCAAUUUCCGUAGACACAAAUUACCUUAAUGAGAUACAAGCUUUGUCAGGAGCAGUAGGUGCUGCCACACCAAAGUUCUGGAAGCUGUGAAUGACAAUGUAUUUAAAUGUAUAGAAAAUAAAUAAUUUGCCACAUCAGGACUGUCAAAAUGAAACAAGCCAGGCUGUGAUUAAAAGCCG